rnacentral:rRNA from 1 species
CCUACGGGAGGCAGCAGUAGGGAAUCUUUCACAAUGGGCGAAAGCCUGAUGGAGCAACGCCGCGUGCAGGAUGAAGGCCUUCGGGUUGUAAAGUGCUUUUAUAAGCGAGAAAUAUGAUGGUAACUUAUGAAUAAGGAUCGGCUAACUACGUGCCAGCAGCCGCGGUCAUACGUAGGAUCCGAGCAUUAUCCGGAGUGACUGGGUGUAAAGAGUUGCGUAGGUGGCAUAAUAAGUAGCGAGUGAAAUCUGGUGGCUCAACCAUUCAGACUAUUAGCUAAACUGUUACGCUCGAGACCGUUAGGGGUAACUGGAAUUUCUAGUGUAGGAGUGAAAUCCGUAGAUAUUAGAAGGAACACCAAUAGCGUAGGCAGGUUGCUGGGACGGUUCUGACACUAAGGCACGAAAGCGUAGGGAGCAAACGGGAUUAGAUACCCCUGUAGUC